rnacentral:rRNA from 1 species
GACGAACGCUGGCGGCGUGCUUAACACAUGCAAGUCGAACGGAAAGGCCCUGCUUUUGUGGGGUGCUCGAGUGGCGAACGGGUGAGUAACACGUGAGUAACCUGCCCUUGACUUUGGGAUAACUUCAGGAAACUGGGGCUAAUACCGGAUAGGAGCUCCUGCUGCAUGGUGGGGGUUGGAAAGUUUCGGCGGUUGGGGAUGGACUCGCGGCUUAUCAGCUUGUUGGUGGGGUAGUGGCUUACCAAGGGUUUGACGGGUAGCCGGCCUGAGAGGGUGACCGGCCACAUUGGGACUGAGAUACGGCCCAGACUCCUACGGGAGGCAGCAGUGGGGAAUAUUGCACAAUGGGCGGAAGCCUGAUGCAGCAACGCCGCGUGCGGGAUGACGGCCUUCGGGUUGUAAACCGCUUUCGCCUGUGACGAAGCGUUAGUGACGGUAAUGGGUAAAGAAGCACCGGCUAACUACGUG